CACGUCGGCCUGUUGCUGUUCCAUGCUCGAACUCCACUACGUGAUUCCCAUCGUUCAAAGGAACAGUCCAUGUAGCAGUAGGUUCAUUGGGCGAACUUUCCAAAUUGUGAAGACUCCUAAAAAAAUAAAAGACUCCAUAUGGCAAGUUUUCAAUCGGGAAAUCACAAUCUGCCGAAUACUCGAUGAACGACUUCAUGGCUGCAACCUCGACGAACGUCUGUCUGUCUGCCUGUCGAGUCCACCUCUACUGCGAUAGAUACAAGUCGACGAUAUGAUAAUUCCGUAGCUUCCACGAGGCCGGUCUCCGAGAGAGAAUAAUUUAUACACCUGUUUACGCGAUCCUUGAUAAGCCUCGAACGAGCCUCUGGUUUAACUAGUUUUACAAAUCAACAUAACGAGAAUAGUUAUUUUUACUUUGCAGUUGUUAUUUUGAAUACUAAUCAGUUAAGUUUUCUAGAAUAUACGAUAGAAGCAAAGUAAUUAUUAUGUAAUAUAUUGCUUAUCAGUUUAUUCCUAUUUUCUUGAUAAACACUAACUCUUUAGCAUUUAAACUAAAAAUAAUAUUUCUAACGUGCAAAACGUUUUCUUAAUUAUUUUUGAAUAAGUAAUAAAACUUAUUUAUUGAUAGACAUAUUAAUAUAGUAAAUUAAUAUAGUAAAUUAAUUAAUGCAUACAUUUUAUGUUAUUUUAUUUGAUAUCUUAUUUCAAUGAGAAUAAGGUAUUUUUAUGUUCUAAAUAAUUACAAUUUUAGGGUAACAGCAGUUUAUUAGACAUUGAUAUACAGUGGAUAAUAAGGGCAAAUAGGUAUUCGAACAACAUGGUUAUGACAUGCCAGCAACCAAUCACUCUUCAUCGCCGCAUACUCUCGAUUUUCGCUUCUCGUUUAUUUAUCUCAACGAUAUCUUAUCACGUACGCGCAUGUACAUAUGUAUUUUUUCCUAUUUAUAUAUAAAUGUAUUUUUCAUUACGUACAGUAUAUAAGGACAGCUUUCUCCUCGAUGGUAUUUCGAGGCUUUAUCGCUAAAUGCUAAUCGUUUGGAAGACAUGUAACUUUGUUGUUGUUUUCCUUGCUUCUUUAUUAACUUAUUAUACUAGUAAUUAGACUAGUAAUUAACAAUAAUGAGAGGCUAGGGACUUCCAAGAAAAUUAAUUAAAUGAUAUUUAUAAGAAACACGUAAAAAGAAUGAUUUUCUAUUUGAUUGACACAAUUAAGAAAGAAGUGAAAGAUUUAUUCGAUUAUACAUGUAUUUCUCGUCGAUGUAGACUGUCGAAAGAAAGAAUUAUAAUAAUAAUUAUUAAUAUAGUGCAUUUAAGGUGCGAUAAAAUGUUUAGAGUGCAAUAUGUACAAUGUAAUGCAACGUAAUAAACAUUAAAGUACGAAUAGAGUGCAUAAAAUGGUGCAUAGUAAAACAAUAAAUACAGAAUUCUGAAUUGUGCAAAAAUUUGCAUGACACCUAAAUAUCUGUGCAUAAUAUAAAACUUAAAUAAAAACGCUUGUGGUAGAAGAAUUUUUUAUAUUUACUUCUAUUGCCAGCAUUAUAUGAAAUAUUCGCAGGCAUUAAAGUUUAUGUACAAAUCUUUAAAAUACUAAUUAUAAUAUCGUGUGAUCACCUACAAAAAAAAAUAAUAUAACAUUCGCAACAAUAUAACUUCUAUAAAGUGCAAUUAUGUAACUUUUCUAAUAAGUAUCUUUUCUAAUAAGUCAGUAUUUUAAUAUUACUAGUUUAUUGCUGACAUCCAUCACAUCAGCCACACAAAUGUAAAAAUGUUCUAAAUUUUAAGAAAAAAUGCGAGGUUUAACGUGUUAAUAUAUAUUACUAAUUAUGUACGCAAAUUAAGUAAUCAGAAGUCUACAGAGACGAGUAUAUUUUUCAUAUAAAUAUAUGACUUGUAAUAAAAAAAAGAGCAGAGCAAUCACGAAAAUCAGAUGUGUAUAAUUACGAGAGAAUUCGCUUAUGAAUAGCAUUGAUCGCUAUGUCGGCAAUGCCAACGACUAUAACUAAAGAAAUUCAUAACGCCGAUAGAAUUACGAAUAGUAAUCAACAACUUUUCGAUAGAGUGCCUCUUUACAGGUAUCGAUUUGCUGGUCAGUUGAAUCACUUAAUUCAUUUUCCUUUCGAAAAAUACAAUUUGUCCCCCCUUUGGCGUAUAACGAUUAUAGGUGAAUUGUUUGAACUCUGGAUCAAUAAAUACAGUUUAAUAUCUCAUCGUAAUAUUCCAAAUGUUUACGAUUCGAGCUGCAAAUUGUGGUAAUGCUGCUUUAUCAAAACUUUGAUAUCUUUUACGAAAUGACGUAUAAUAAUGUCCUCUUUUCAAAAACGGACCUUUAUACAUAUUCCAAAUAAAUGGCAAUCAAAACUGCUAUUGUACUUUUUAUAUAAAAAUGCAGUUAAAAGAGGAUAUAUAUUUUAAAAAGAGAGGAAUAAUCUCUAAAAAUGUAAACAUACAUACUAAGACAUUACUUUCUUUUUAAUGAAUUAUAAUCUUAACAAAUCUUUAUUUCUAUUACUCAGUUUAAAUUGUUUCAUUGAUGCAGAAUUCAGCAUAUAUAUCGCGCUUUAUAUUUUAUACAUUACAUACGUUUCACAGAAUUGACAUCGCCUGUUAUAAUUCAUCAGCCAAGCGCCGUCAUUUAAGUACGAUUAACAUCUUUGGCAUUAAAUUACGUGUAUCAGGACAUAUCGAUUAUUCUCUACUCUGCUUAAUCCCGCGUCAGUUUAAUCCCGGUACUAAUUGCAUAAAAUACUAAUUGCAGCUCCCCAUCUAGAUGUAUUCAUCUAAAUAUGACUUAAGCUAAUUGUCACGACGGCAUGAUAAUUCUCGGCGGAAAAAGAAAUGCAGUGAGUUCCGAAAAUGUACAUAAAUACACUCAUUUUUUCGUACAAUUACAUCUAGAUAUUUUAUAUUACUUACGCGUUAAAUAUCUUUUCUGUUACUCCGUACUGGCAAUUGAGUCGAAAGCUAGAGUUGUUCGGUUUAUUAAUGUCGAACAGAUCGAAGCACUUAUUGUCGAUCGCAUAGUGAGAAAUUCACUGUGUUUAACAUGUAUAUAAGAAUUAAUGAUGUAUGAUGUAAAAUCACGAUCACAAACGCGAAAAAAAGUACAUUAAUUAAUACAUAAUAAAAAUUAAAAAUUGC
rnacentral:lncRNA from 1 species